rnacentral:rRNA from 1 species
AAACUCAAAUGAAUUGACGGGACCCGCACAAGCAGCGGAGCGUGUGGUUUAAUUCGUUGCUACACGAAGAACCUUACCUGGGUUUGACAUAUAGGUUGUAGGGAACUGAAAAGCGACCGACCCUUCGGGGAGCUUGCACAGGUGCUGCAUGGCUGUCGUCAGCUCGUGUCGUGAGAUGUUCGGUUAAGUCCGCUAACGAGCGCAACCCUCGCUGUGUGUUACAAGUGUCACACGGUACUGCCGGUCUUAAGCCGGAGGAAGGUGGGGAUGACGUCAAGUCAGCAUGGCCUUUAUAUCCUGGGCUACACACACGCUACAAUGGCCAACACAAUAGGUUGCUAAGCCGCGAGGUGGCGCCAAUCCAUAAAGUUGGUCUCAGUUCAGAUUGUAGGCUGCAACCCGCCUGCAUGAAGAUGGAGUUGCUAGUAACCGCAGGUCAGCUAUACUGCGGUGAAUACGUUCCCGGGGCUU